rnacentral:rRNA from 1 species
UGAUUAAGCCAUGCGAGUCGAGAGGGUUCGGCCCUCGGCGUACUGCUCAGUAACACGUGGAUAACCUGCCCUAGGGAAGGGGAUAACCCCGGGAAACUGGGGAUAAUACCCUAUAGGUUACAGAUGCUGGAAUGCUCUGUAACCCAAAGUUCCGGCGCCCUAGGAUGGAUCUGCGGCCGAUUAGGUUGUUGUUGGGGUAAUGGCCCAACAAGCCAGUAAUCGGUACGGGUUGUGGGAGCAAGAGCCCGGAGUUGGAUUCUGAGACACGAAUCCAGGCCCUACGGGGCGCAGCAGGCGCGAAAACUUUACAAUGCGGGCAACCGUGAUAAGGGAACCUCGAGUGCCUGUAAAUGCAGGCUGUUUAGGUGUUUAAAACGCACCUGGAGAAAGGGCCGGGCAAGACCGGUGCCAGCCGCCGCGGUAAUACCGGCGGCUCGAGUGGUGGCCACUUUUAUUGGGCUUAAAGCGUUCGUAGCUGGGUUGUUAAGUCUCUUGGGAAAUCUGGCGGCUUAACCGUCAGGCGUCUAAGGGAUACUGGCAAUCUUGGAACCGGGAGAGGUGAGGGGUACUUCGGGGGUAGGAGUGAAAUCCUGUAAUCCUCGAGGGACCACCUGUGGCGAAGGCGCCUCACCAGAACGGCUUCGACAGUGAGGGACGAAAGCUGGGGGAGCAAACCGGAUUAGAUACCCGGGUAGUCCCAGCCGUAAACUAUGCGCGUUAGGUGUAUCGGUGACCACGAGUUMCCGAGGUNCCGAAGGGAAACCGUSAAACSUSCCGCCUGGGAAGUACGSUCGCAAGGCUGAAACYYAAAGGAAUUGGCGGGGGAGCA